AACCUUAUGGACCUGCGGGCGUAUACCUGCGGAGGGAUCAUUACAGAGUUAUCCAACUCCCAAACCCAUGUGAACUUAUCUCUUUGUUGCCUCGGCGCAAGCUACCCGGGACCUCGCGCCCCGGGCGGCCCGCCGGCGGACAAACCAAAACUCUUGUUAUCUUAGUUGAUUAUCUGAGUGUCUUAUUUAAUAAGUCAAAACUUUCAACAAUGGAUCU
rnacentral:misc_RNA from 1 species